CUCGGGACUCCAGAUGCGAGACCUCUCGAUUUUGAAGAUAAACACAUUUUUUUUUCCAAAUAUUCCUUUUUAAUUUUGCCCAAAAGAGAAAGGAAAAAAGAAAAAAAAAGCUUUAAUGAGGCCUACUUCUGCUUGCUCGCGGUGGGGCAGGAGGCCACGCAGUGCACCAGUGCCGCCGUCAAGAGGUGGGGAGAUGCAAGAGGAGGCAGAAGUGAUAAGAACAAGUUGAGAAGAAAUUUUUGGAUGGAAUAAUCAUUUGAAUCCCCAAAGCCUCUUUCAAUUAAUGUUGAGAAGAUAUAAAAAAAAUACACAUUUAAGGUAAACACUACUACCAUUGGGCUGGAUGGCUGAAAUUUAUACAAAAUUCAUACUUAUGUGGAGAAAGUUCUAUGAAAAGCACAGAAAUUACGUGUUAUUAAUCAUACAUUCACUGUGUGCAUUUCAUUGUACAUGAUCACAUGAAGAUCAUGUGACCCAGAAGUAAUUAAUGUAAUGGUAGGAAAAUGUCUUAAUGAAAACCUGAAAUAAACAAGAAUUUAUUCACAUUGUGAGAAUAAUAAAAUAUUAGAAAACAUGACUUCAAGUAACAUACAGAUACUCCUUGAUUUACAACCAUUAGUUUAAUGACUGUCAAAGUUACAAUGACACUGAAACAAGUGACUUAUGACAUUUACGACCAUUGCAGCAUCUCCACAUUCACAUGAUCAAAAUUUGGAUGCUUGGCAACUGGCAUGUAUUUAUUAUGGCUGACAUGAUCACCUUUUGCAGCCUUCUGACAAGCAAAGUCAAAGAGAAAGCCAGAUUCACUUCACAACCAUGUUACUGAUUUAACUACAGCAGUGAUUCACUUAACAAAUAUGGCAAGAAAGGUUGUAAAAUGGGGCAAAACUCACUUAACAACUGUCUUGCUAAGCAAUGGAAAUUUUGGGCUCAAUUUUGAUUGCAAGUCAAGGAUUACCUGUAUCUGAAUACUCUGAAUUUAAUGUAAGUAUCUAUAUUGUACUAUGACUUUGGAUAUUGAUAGUAAUUUUUAUGAUCUAAUGUCUUAAGAGCAGUCACUAAAAAUUAUAACAUGGGCCCCAUGCAAAUUAAUAUCUGGAGGUUAAAGAUAAUAAAUUAUAAAAAGAAUUCAUAAUUAAUAAAAAAAUUCAGCAUGCAAUGAAUACAGUAUAUGUACUUAAAAAUUAUAACGGGACAUUUAAUUAUUCAUUUAGAACAUUUGUAUGGCUACCUCCUCAUUCUCAGUGACUCUGGGCAGCUUAAAAAUAGAAUCUUUCUCUACUAGUUUUCAUUCAAUCCUCACUGUGUUGAUAAAAGUCCUUGCCUUGCAAAAUUGGAUUCUCUAGGUUGUAGCCUCUAUCUUACAUUUGUAGUAUCUUCCUAAGCAAAGAGUUUAUGCUCAUUGGUUAAGUGCCAUUUUUUUCAUGACAGUGAUAACUCCAUGACCAAAAUAUAUCUGUAGUCACAACCUCCUAAAAAGAAGUAAUUAAACCUGAAAAUAAAGCAAUGAUCAAGCAAUACACAAGGUCUUUUCUCAUUAAUACUUUAAUAUACCAGCUACCCCUCAUUAUGGAAGAUAAAAAGAACUGCCAUCAUAAAUGAGGUUGUUUAGUCUUUGGCUGUGUUCAUAGUACCAUGCUAACCAAAUGCAUUGUUCUCAUGGAUUGUUUGGUCUGAUCCAGAAUGUUUGUUUAUUUCUAAUGUCCUAAUAUUCUGAACAUCCUGCCUCAAUUUUAUGAAUAACUCUCUCCCCAAAUUUAAAAUUUGUUUUUGAUUAAACAAAACAAAACUGAUUACUAUAUCUUACCUAUUUUAACUUCUGAUUUUUUAUUGUAUGUCUAUACAUGGUUGGUUCUAGUUCAGGGGUGGGUUCUAAAUUUUUUUACUACCGGUUCUGUGGGCAUGGUUUAUUUUGUGGGUAUGGCUUGAUGGUCAUGUGACAAUUCUUUAAGAUUUAGCAGAGGUACUGGUCUACCAGGCUUUUAACUGCUUGCAGAGCUGUCUACUCAUUUGUUUUUGCAGGCACCGGUCUACUCAUUUGUUUUUGGAGGCACUGGUCUACCCAUUUAUUUUUGCAGGCACCGGUCUACUCAUUUGUUUUUGGAGGCACUGGUCUACCCAUUUAUUUUUGCAGGCACCGGUCUACUCAUUUGUUUUCUUUUAACACUGAUCAGCUGUAGGGCGGCCCUUUGAAGCCCCGCGGCAAGAGUUUAAACAAUUUUUUCCCCUCUAGCCGAUCAGCUGGGACUCAGGAGGCAGCAAUAGAUUGGGGAUGGGGCCAAAUAAAAGGUAAGAAUAAUGCAGUGGGGGCGGGGGGAC